GACAGAGGUGCCAAGCGUUAGGCGGAAUCACUGGGCUUAAAGCGUGUGUAGGCGGAUCGUUAAGUACCUUGUGAAAUCCCACGGCUCAACCGUGGAACUGCUGGGUAUACUGGCGAUCUUGAGCCACCUAGGGGCGAGCGGAACAAGCGGUGGAGCGGUGAAAUGCGUAGAUAUCGCUUGGAACGCCAAUGGUGAAAACAGCUCGCUGGGGGUGUGCUGACGCUUAGGCGCGAAAGCGUGGGGAGCAAACAGG
rnacentral:rRNA from 1 species